rnacentral:rRNA from 1 species
CCACGGGCGGCUGCAGUGGGGAAUAUUGCACAAUGGGCGCAAGCCUGAUGCAGCCAUGCCGCGUGUGUGAAGAAGGCCUUCGGGUUGUAAAGCACUUUCAGCGGGGAGGAAGGCGGUGAGGUUAAUAACCUCAUCGAUUGACGUUACCCGCAGAAGAGGCACCGGCUAACUCCGUGCCAGCAGCCGCGGUAAUACGGAGGGUGCAAGCGUUAAUCGGAAUUACUGGGCGUAAAGCGCACGCAGGCGGUCUGUCAAGUCGGAUGUGAAAUCCCCGGGCUCAACCUGGGAACUGCAUUCGAAACUGGCAGGCUAGAGUCGUGUAGAGGGGGGUAGAAUUCCAGGUGUAGCGGUGAAAUGCGUAGAGAUCUGGAGGAAUACCGGUGGCGAAGGCGGCCCCCUGGACAAAGACUGACGCUCAGGUGCGAAAGCGUGGGGAGCAAACAGGAUAGAACCCCUGUAGUC